ACCCGAUGAUGUGGGCAUUUACGAAGGAAGUCCUUGAAACGCUCCAAGGUCUCAAAGAAAAGUUCCACAUCCAUUUGUGUGAAACUUUUGAUUGCCCUUUGUAGUU